UUAAGGUGGUUAUUGCACAAGGGUUCCACCUCUUCCCAUUCCGAACAGAGAAGUUAAGCCUUGUAGCGCCAAUGGUACUGCGUAACAGUGGAAGAGUAGGUCGCCGCCAUCUUCU
rnacentral:rRNA from 1 species